GUGCUCAUUUUGGCAGCACAUAUGCUAAGAUUGGAAUGAUACAGAGAUUAUCAUGGCCCCUGAGCAAGGAUGACAUGUAAAUUCAUGAAGCAUUUCAUAUUUUU
rnacentral:snRNA from 1 species